UCUGUCCCUAGAGGCAUUGCAGGUGUUGCUGUUGUGUCACAUGUGCGUCAGUAGGUGACAGGAGACAGGCUAUGCCUAUGCUCAGUGUUCUGACCUGUGAACGUCUGAGUGAUUAGUAGCCUGACAUU